rnacentral:rRNA from 1 species
UACAGAGGGGGCAAGCGUUGUUCGGAAUUACUGGGCGUAAAGGGCGCGUAGGCGGCCUUCUAAGUCGAACGUGAAAUCCCCGGGCUCAACCCGGGAACUGCGUCCGAUACUUCCGAGCUGGAGGUAGGUAGGGGAGAUCGGAAUUCCUGGUGUAGCGGUGAAAUGCGCAGAUAUCAGGAGGAACACCGGUGGCGAAGGCGGUCUCUGGGCAUUACCUGACGCUGAGGAGCGAAAGUGUGGGGAGCGAACAGG